rnacentral:rRNA from 1 species
UACGUAGGGGGCAAGCGUUGUCCGGAUUUAUUGGGCGUAAAGAGCGUGUAGGCGGCCAGGUAGGUCGGUUGUGAAAACUCGAGGCUCAACCUCGAGAUGUCGACCGAAACCAUCUGGCUAGAGUCCGGAAGAGGAGAAUGGAAUUCCCGGUGUAGCGGUGAAAUGCGCAGAUAUCGGGAAGAACACCCGUGGCGAAGGCGGUUCUCUGGGCCAUUACUGACGCUGAGGAGCGAAAGCGUGGGGAGCGAACAGG